CACCAUGUGCGCUAGAUCAUCCUCCACCUCGCCAAUAUAAUUGUGUUAUAUACGAACGUCGACAAUCUCAAAGCUUCGAGAAUAAUAAGCGGUUUAAAAAUACUUAGAGAACUUUCUAGAAAUCAUGCUUCCCUAUUAGAAUAUACGAAAUUAGCUAAACACUUGUAGGACCAUCUGUAUCCGUGCCCUCCCACGAACACAUGGACUCCCUUCGUCCCUCCUCACUUCCGCUC
rnacentral:lncRNA from 1 species